rnacentral:lncRNA from 1 species
UAUUUUCUAGAUUCUUUUAAAAUUACAAAGUAACCAUCUUUUUGCGCAUGGAAAAAGUAUUUAAUUUUGAUUCACAUGCUCUCCUCUCUCUCACUCUCCACCAAAACCCAAGCCUUGCCGUCCGAAGCAAGAUCAUAUCUGGUGCUCCAUGUCCAUGAGAAGCAGCAAUUUGCAGAAAUAUACUGAGGUGUCCUAGUCUUGCAAAAAGCCGGCGAACAAGCAUGGCGAGUAAUCAACUUCACCUUUGAAAAUAUGCAGGGUCUUCUCUUCAAUGAUUAUAAUACAAUUACGAACUUACUAGUCUAAGCAUAUUUUAUAAAACAACAGCUAUUUUUAGUCCACAGGUAAAUUUUCUUGCAUGUGUUUUUUUAGUCCACAGGCAACAUCCUUAAUAUUAUGUCUUCCAAUUGUGUCAAAGCACUUUUUUUUAUAAAAAAAAAGGGUCAAAUCAUAAAUAGUUUUUUUAUUUUAUUUUUUACUUACCAGUUAUACUCAAAUUUAAUUUUUUUUUAUACCGUUAUAUAUGUUAAAUUCGAAUGUUCAGGAAAUCAAGUAAACGAAAGGAGAAAAAUAAAAUGCAUACAGAAUAAGAGAAUUUUGUUAAAAUGCAACACGAAAUAUUUCUUUUCUUGAAGGCAAACCGUAAAUUAUGACAAUUAUCAUAAGUUGAUAGAUAUAUUUCCCAUGAUCGGAUAGUGUAGAAAUAAUUGAUUAGCCAAGAAAUUCUUAUAUUAAUUUACCACCCUGCAGUCCUUCCUAACCUCCUGGCCUCCUGUGAUGCUACUCAUUUUGAUCAUGGAUUUCACAAACGCUUUGUAGAAAGUUUCCUUUGAACUAGCAAAAUUU